UGCUGCUACUUUGUGGUAUACCACAGUAUAACCUGGAUAUAAUUUUUUCCCCCUAUACUUUUAGUUACAUUUUUAGUUCAGGUGCACCGCUGAAUUAUGAGAAGAAUAUAAGUGUACCACAAGUGAA